rnacentral:sRNA from 1 species
ACAACCAACAAAAACGCCAAGUGAGCCUC